rnacentral:rRNA from 1 species
CCUACGGGAGGCAGCAGUGGGGGAUAUUGCACAAUGGGGGAAACCCUGAUGCAGCGACGCCGCGUGGGUGAAGAAGUAUUUUGGUAUGUAAAGCCCUAUCAGCAGGGAAGAAAGAAAACGGUACCUGACUAAGAAGCCCCGGCUAACUACGUGCCAGCAGCCGCGGUAAUACGUAGGGGGCGAGCGUUAUCCGGAUUCACUGGGUGUAAAGGGAGCGUAGACGGCCGUGCAAGCCAGGAGUGAAAGCCCGGGGCCCAACCCCGGGACUGCUCUUGGAACUGUGCGGCUGGAGUGCGGGAGGGGCAGGCGGAAUUCCUGGUGUAGCGGUGAAAUGCGUAGAUAUCAGGAGGAACACCGGCGGCGAAGGCGGCCUGCUGGACCGCGACUGACGUUGAGGCUCGAAAGCGUGGGGAGCGAACAGGAUUAGAUACCCUGGUAGUC